ensembl:lncRNA
AGGCAUCAGGAUUGUUUUCUAAAUCUCCCCAGGUGGUUCCCAUGUGCAGGCAAAGUUGAGCACCACUGCCUUCAAGCACUCGGUGAACCCAAAACUGGUCGUAAUUCAAACCAUGACUUCUCAUACUUGAGCAUGACCUCUAUAAAGAGCUUAAAUUCACGGCUCUUCCCAAACAAUCCAGCUCAAAAAUGGUGGUGUUCUGAAUGCAAGUAGUAUCCUGAAAAGAAUCACGUUUUUCCCCAAGCAUAUCUGUGUGGGAGCUUUAAACAAAAGUAAAAGCCUCAUUGCAAUCCCUCCCUCCAGCCACUCUAUUCGCUCCAUGGAACCUGCGUUGUGUGUGUCCUGAUUGAUGGUAUUUCUCCUUCUUUCCUUGGGAGACAUGAGUCCUUUCUGCUGCCAGUAGAGCUCCCAGUACAUUUAUAUAAGAUUAAUUGAUGGCAUAUGAUCAUCUCGUCUCAGAAAGUCAAGUGGCUUCCAAAUGGAGAGAAUCCUUGAAAGGACACUGGAGGCAGUGUCUGAGUAGUUGUAUAGUUCAGGCUUGACAGAACUGCUUGCUGAAUUUAAUGCGUCCAUUGUGUCCACGUCAACAAUAAGGAAUCGGAGACGUUGUGCAUUUCCACAGUGGUUCAUCUGUUUUGGCUGAAACUCAGUUAAACAAUGGUUAACUCAAACUCUUUAUCUGAUUUACUUCUCAAUCAUUUUUUCCCGGACUUAGCUAGCUAUUUUAGCUGUAACUGGAGAAUUAGUUGUCUAAGCUGACUGAACCCAUUAAAGAGUAGGACUUUUUAACACUUAAAUUAAUUUAUUUGUUGUUGGUUCCUCUUUAUGUUUUAAUUUUAUUUUUAAUAAAAAUUGUACAUAUUUAGACAUUGAUAAUGACAUGUUCAGAGUGUUUUAAAAGAAGUUUCGAUGAAUUCUAAUUAUUUUGGAUAAUAACGAAUAUCAAUUUGUAGAAAUUACUUAAAAAUAUAUUUUCUAGCUCUGAUGAUGUGUCAAGAAUAUUUUGAAAGAGAAGUUUUUGAUAAAUUCUAAUUAUUUUGUAUCUAAUAAAUGAAUAUUUUUUGUGGAAAUGGUUUAAAAGUAUACAUUCAGUUCUCUGUGGCUACAAUACACUUGAUUUACAAACAAGAGAGUACUCAUAUGUUAAUAUUCACAUAUAAUGUAUGAAAGUUUAUGUGAAUUAUUGAAAUAUGAUACGUCUUUAAAUGAAUGUACUGUGCUCUCAAACUGGAACAAAGUAUUUGCAAAUGGAAUUAGUAUAAAAUGAUGAAAUUUUUUUGUAGACUAGUCAAGAAAUAAAUAUCAACAUCUUACAUUGUAAAAAUUUGAUCUAAAUAUUAUAAAUUUCAUCUAAAUACUUCAUAUUUGCUUCACAGGAAAUCUCUUUUGGAUUGGUUUCACACAUCAAUUCUAAAAUUUUAUACCUCUUCAAAUGUAACCUUUUUAAGGGAAAACAAUCAUUAAUAGGAGCAAAGAGAGCUUUAUGAAUAAAUGCUAAAAGAAGGUAGCUUCAAAAAUAAAGUAGCAUUUUAAAGACCAUAGAAUUCAUUCAACUGUAUUCUUAAAUUUUCUUAAAUCCAAGGAACUGAUCAAAGUUUUAUUAGUUUUAUGGAUUUUUCAUAUAGUCCACAAAUAGCUAAACAAAAGAAAGGAAAAUCAAUAACUUAGUAAUUUGACACUACUUCCUUCUGAAACAUAGGAAACUUUUAAUAAUUAACUUGCCCUGAUAAUCUGCCACAUUGUACACAAUCAUUAUGUCAAUCUAAAUUAAAAAUGGUCAGUAGUCCUACCAAAGUGGUGUGUUUAGAAUGAUAUAAACUAGUUAAAUAUCUUGAAGAUACAUUAUUGGGAAGCACUGAUAUAAAAACAGAAAUAGGCCAAUGGAACACAACAGAGAGCCCAGAAAUAAACACACACAAAUAUAUGGAUGAGAGUGCCAAGAAAACUUUAUGGAGAAAGGAUAGUCUCUCCAACAAAUGGUGUUUGGAAAACUGGACAUACACACACAAAGCAAUGAAUAGGAACCAUUAUCUUACACCAUGCACAAAAACAAACUCAAAGUGGAUUAAAAACUUAAACAUAAAAACUGAAACUAUAAAACCCCCAUAAGGAAACAUAGGGGAAAAGCUUCAUGACAUUGGUUUUGGCAAUGAUUUUCUGAAUAUAACACCUUAAAAGCACAAGCAACAAAAGCAAAAUUAGACAAGUGGAAUUUCAUUAAACUAAAAAGCUUCUGCACAGCAAAGGAAACAGUCAAGAGAGUGAAAAGGCAACUUACAGAAUAGGGGAAAAUAUUUGCAAACCAUGUGUCUCAUAAGGGGCUAACAUCUAAAAUUCACACAACUCAAUACAAACAAACAAAAAACAACCCAAUUAAAAAGUGGGCAAAGGACUUGAAUAGAUAUUCUACAAAGAAGAUAUACAA